rnacentral:rRNA from 1 species
GUACCCUCAAGCACUGCUUGGUAUUGGGCCUCGCGGCGACGGCUUAAAGUCAGUGGCGGCGCGCUGAGCCCUGAGCGUAGUAAUUCUCUCGCUACAGGGUCUCGGCGCGCUUCCCGCAGUAACCCCAAAUUUUACACUUGUNA